rnacentral:rRNA from 1 species
GGGUCAGUAGGUUGGUCGUGCCACCGGUCCGUACUGGUCUCACUGAUUCCUCCUUCCUGAAGAACCGUAGUGCCAUUAAUUUGGUGUUGCGGGGAAACAGGACUGUUACUUUGAAAAAAUUAGAGUGUUUAAAGCAAGCUAACGCUUGAAUACAUUAGCAUGGAAUAAUGAAAUAGGACGAUCGAUCCUAUUUUGUUGGUUUCUAGGAUUGACGUA